ensembl:lncRNA
ACCGCCGACACAAAACGCUCCGAUCGGCCCGCGCUCUCGGCGGGGUGCUUGGGGGGGGCCCACGGACCCCCCUGUGAAAUUUGGGACCCCUGGGACUUUUCUAAAAAAAUCCCACCUGCCAUUUAUUGAAUGGGUUCGGCCUAGCGGUUUCGUGGACACGGCUCGCGAGGGUCCGAUCGGGCCGAAUUUCGGAUAUUUGUCUCGGGGGGACCCCCUUAACCGGGCGAGAAAGUAUGGUGGCCAAACGACCAUCUUUAGGGGUCAAAAGGUCAUAAAAGGGAGCGCACUUCCACCAAACUGGUACGCGUUUAAAUUGGAGGUGGGACGUCCACCGUUCGGAGACUAAAGGUCAUAGGGCCCCGAGAUUUGAGAUUCUGGCAUCUCAGGGGCCCCUCACCCACGACCCUGAAGUACGUAGCUGUAGGACCUCGGGAAAAAAAGUGCUUUGCACUAGGACCCUGCGCUUUUGACUGCACGCUCUGGGGGGCCAGAGGAGCCACCGAGCCAAGUUUCGGGCUCCUGGGACAUUUCUAAAAAAAAAUCCCACCUGCAAUUAAUUUGUGAAAAAAUGUGAAAAAAAAGUGAAAAAAAUGGCAGCUGGGAUGUUUUCACCUAAAGAAAUGUACAUUUCCAAUUUAUUCAGCGGGACCAUCGUAGUGCUCCCGUGGACAUUCAUUUUUAUGCAAAUUCUACAGUAUUAA